rnacentral:rRNA from 1 species
GACGAACGCUGGCGGCGUGCUUAACACAUGCAAGUCGAACGGAAAGGCCCUGCUUUUGUGGGGUGCUCGAGUGGCGAACGGGUGAGUAACACGUGAGUAACCUGCCCUUGACUUUGGGAUAACUUCAGGAAACUGGGGCUAAUACCGGAUAGGAGCUCCUGCUGCAUGGUGGGGGUUGGAAAGUUUCGGCGGUUGGGGAUGGACUCGCGGCUUAUCAGCUUGUUGGUGGGGUAGUGGCUUACCAAGGCUUUAACGGGUAGCCGGCCUGAGAGGGUGAACGGCCACAUUGGGACUGAGAGACGGCCCAGACGCCUACGGGAGGCAGCAGUGGGGAAUAUUGUACAAUGGGCGGAAGCCUGAUGCAGCAACGCCGCGUGCGGGAUGACGGCCUUCGGGUUGUAAACCGCUUUCGCCUGUGACGAAGCGUGAGUGACGGUAAUGGGUAAAGAAGCACCGGCUAACUACGUG